CACGGACCAAGGAGUCUAACAUGUACGCGAGUCAUUGGGACUAGCGGUAUACCUAAAGGCGCAAUGAAAGUGAAGGUCGGCCCUGGUUGUCGACCGAGGGAGGAUGGGCCGCGUCCCGACGCGGCCCCGCACUCCCGGGGCGUCUCGUUCUCAUCGCGAGAAGAGGCGCACCCAGAGCGUACACGUUGGGACCCGAAAGAUGGUGAACUAUGCCUGGUCAGGACGAAGUCAGGGGAAACCCUGAUGGAGGUCCGUAGCGAUUCUGACGUGCAAAUCGAUCGUCGGAACUGGGUAUAGGGGCGAAAGACUAAUCGAACCAUCUAGUAGCUGGUUCCCUCCGAAGUUUCCCUCAGGAUAGCUGGCACUCGGCCGUUCCGCACGGAACGCGCGCGAGUCUCAUCUGGUAAAGCGAAUGAUUAGAGGCCUUGGGGCCGAAACGACCUCAACCUAUUCUCAAACUUUAAAUGGGUGAGAUCUCUGGCUUUCUUGAACUAUGAAGCCACGAGCAUCUCGGAUCAGAGUGCCAAGUGGGCCAUUUUUGGUAAGCAGA
rnacentral:rRNA from 1 species